CUUGGUCUAGAGGAAGUAAAAGUCGUAACAAGGUCUCCGUAGGUGAACCUGCGGAGGGAUCAUUACCGAGUUCGUGCCCCUCGCGGGUAGAUCUCCCACCCUUGUGUAUCUCUUGUGUUUGUGUUGCUUUGGCAGGCCGUGGGCCCCCUGUGCUCACCACCGGCCCCCGGGCUGGUGCGCGCCUGCCAGAGGACCUUCUCAACUCUGUGUGUCAGUGUCGUCUGAGUGUGAUUGAGAAACAAUCGUUAAAACUUUCAACAACGGAUCUCUUGGUUCUG
rnacentral:misc_RNA from 1 species